AGAACGAACGCUGGUAGCGUGGGAUUAGGCAUGCAAGUCGAACGGGAGUCCGGGAGGUAGCAAUACUUCCUGGUGAGAGUGGCGGAUUGGGGAGGAACACGUGAGCAACCUGCCUUGGAGUCGGGGAAAACCGUUGGAAACGACGGCUAAUACCGGAUGUGGCGCCCGGAGACAUCUUCGGAGCGCUAAAGGGGGCCGCAAGGCUCUCGCUCGUAGAGGGGCUCGCGCACCAUCAGCUUGUUGGCGGGGUAACGGCCCACCAAGGCCUACGGUUAGCUGGUCUGAGAGGAUGACCAGCCCCACUGGGACUGAGAUACUGCCCAGACUCCUACGGGAGGCUGCAGUCGAGGAUCAUUUGCAAUGGGCGAAAGCCUGACAAUGCGACGCUGCGUGGAGGAUGAAGGCCUUCGGGUUGUAAACUCCUGUCAUGGGGGAACAGGCGAGGAAACCUAAUACGUUUCUUAGUUGAGUGUACCCCAAGAGGAAUUGGCGGCUAACUCUGUGCCAGCCGCCGC
rnacentral:rRNA from 1 species